GAUAGUCGGGAAUUGCAACUGCGGGAGAAUCAUCCAAUAAAAUAUGCCAUGUUAGCCGAGUGUUUAUAAAUAAAAAAGAAAAAAAGAGAGACCCAAAUAGAAAUAGAAGAUAAAUGCAGAGUAGAGAUAAUCUUUUUCUUGCUCUUCGCUGAUGGGUGUCUUCAUUAUCCAAGGGAUCGAAUGCUUUGGAGCUUCUCUUUGUCGUUGGCUAGUGAGCUUAUCAUUGCCGUCGUACUAAGCUAAAAGCAUAAUACCUUGUCUUCACCGUCGCUCAAACCCGAGCUUCCAUUGUAUUCCAUAGCACAGUAAGUCAAAUGGAAAGAUACCUCCUCUUUGUCAGAGCUAAAGACUAUCUUCAUUAAAGGAUGAGCUAACUUCAUAGAGCUUGUUGUCGACAAGUUGUUGCACAUUGAGGCCAGGAAAAAGCAAGGAAUAAAUCUGCUACACUUCAUCUCUCUUAGUUGGCAAAUCUAAUCGCCGAAGUGAGAGAACGUUUAAGUGACUUUUUGGCAUUUGAGAAUGGGUUUACUACUGGAGAAUUAAACUGUUGCCGUAAAUUUAUUCAACAUGGAGCUAUUGCCGCGAUACCGGUUCGCUGCAAUAAAGUUGGGCCAGGGGCGUCUGCACUUAGCGCUGCAAUAAGCGUCUGGGAGAGCUAUUACGGCGAAAUAUCUAGCGCCGCAACAAACAGGGGUAUUUAAUUGAGAUGAUGCGAUGGUCACCCUAGCUGCAGCAGAUUUUCCCCAAAUUUCUCCCCUGCUACGCCGACGAUUCCAUCUUGACGAGUAGCUGCACCGUCGGUCGUCAGGCCGUCGCCUUUGCUGCCGGAGUCGUCUCCGAUACCUGGCUGCCCCAGUACCUUGAUUCGGCAUGCUCCCCACCGUGUUGCCAUAGCAGCCGGCCAUCCUAUUUUCAGCCAACGCAACUCUGAAAAAUGGACAAGAAUUAGAUGCACGUGCCAAAUAGGUUUACCUCACGUGAAUAUGGUGAAGGGAUUAACACUCUCCUCACCAUGGCAAAGACCCAUGCACCUGGACAAACUACCAUAAGGUGUCCAUGUCGGAGAUGCCGAAAUAACCUAUUCCUACCAUUCAAUGAAGUUGAAGAUCAUCUAUUCACGAUAGGUGUUAUCCUUCAUGUGGCCUAAGUGGGAAAAUGUAUGAAUCGUUUGCUGAUCAUCGCUUCCAGCAAGGUCAACCACAAAUUUGUACUGGGGAAUUUUCACUUCUUGUAGUUGGCUUCACAGUAAUGGCGUGAGAGCUCAAGGAACUAUUGUUGUACUGGGGAGGCUUUAUUGUAUUUCCUAGUGUUGUAAACUGCUUGUACGAUGAAAAAAGGGAAACCCUUUCAUGUUGAAUGCUUCAAAUUAUUUAAAUAUGUAUUCAUGUAGGCAAUGGUCUGAUUCGAGUACUCCCCAAGAUUUUGAACUUGCUUAUGGUUCAUGAAUUGAAAAUAUGGAUUAUGCAGGGAUGUAUUAUUAAAUUGCA